UUAAAGUUUAAUUUUAGUUUAAAUAUUUGAUUUAUUGUUAAUUUAUAUGUAAAAUUUAUUAAAAAUUUGUUUUUCAGUAUUUACUUUUAUUUAUUUAUUAAUUUAAUUUUAGUAAUUAAUAUAAAAAUCUAAUAAAAUUUGUGCCAGCAAUUGCGGUUAGACAAAUGGGUUAAUUAAAUAUUUUUAGUUAUAAUAAAUUAUCUAUAGUUUAAAUUAAAAUUUUAAGGUGAAAUUUAAAUUUUAUAUUUUAUUAAGGUAAUGAUUUAAUAAAUUUGUAUUAUAGACUAGGAUUAGAUACCCUAUUAUUACAAUUAUAAAUUAAUUUCUUAGUUAGUAUUAGUUAUUUUCUUGAAAGUUAAAAAAUUUGGCUGUAUUUUAGUCAGUUUAGAGGAACCUGUCCUAUAAUUGAUGAUCCACGAUAUGUUUUACUUAUUUUUUACUUGUAUAUCGUUGUUAAUGAAUUUCUUUUUAGGGAUAAUUUUCUUUUAUUUUUAUUAGAGUGGAUUUCAGAUCAAGGUGCAGUUUAUAUAUAAGUAGAGAUGGGUUACAAUAAAUUAAUUUUUGGUUAUUAGAUUUAGAUUUUUUAUAUAAAUUGGAUUUAAUAGUAAUUUCAUUUAAUUAAAUGAAAUGAUUAUUGCUCUAAGGUAUGUACAUAUUGCCCGUCGCUCUCAAUCUAAUUUAAGAUAAGUCGUAACAUAGUAGAUGUACUGGAAAGUGUAUCUAGCAUA
rnacentral:ncRNA from 1 species